AUUGAACGCUGGCGGCAGGCCUAACACAUGCAAGUCGAACGAGUGGGGCGCGGGUGUGAAAUGUGUGGGACACUCCCUGAUGGGGGGGGAUAACCUGGAGAAACGAUAGCUAAUACCGCAUACCAGGAGGAGUGCACAGAUGGGAUUAGCUAGUGUGUGGGGGAAAGGCUCACCUAGGCGACGAUCCCUAGCGGGUCUGAGAGGAUGACCAGCCACACUGGAACUGAGACACGGUCCAGACUCCUACGGGAGGCAGCAGUGGGGAAUAUUGCACAAUGGGCGCAAGCCUGAUGCAGCCAUGCCGCGUGUAUGAAGAAGGCCUUCGGGUUGGAAAGUACUUUCAGCGGGGAGGCGUUACCCGCAGAAGAAGCACCGGCUAACUCCGUGCCAGCAGCCGCGGUAAUUC
rnacentral:rRNA from 1 species